rnacentral:tRNA from 3 species
GCCGGCGUAGCUCAGUUGGUAGAGCAGCUGACUUGUAAUCAGCAGGUCGACCGUUCGAAUCGGUUCGCCGGCUCCA